rnacentral:rRNA from 1 species
UACGUAGGGUGCAAGCGUUAAUCGGAAUUACUGGGCGUAAAGCGUGCGCAGGCGGCUUUGCAAGACAGAUGUGAAAUCCCCGGGCUCAACCUGGGAACUGCAUUUGUGACUGUAUAGCUAGAGUACGGUAGAGGGGGAUGGAAUUCCGCGUGUAGCAGUGAAAUGCGUAGAUAUGCGGAGGAACACCGAUGGCGAAGGCAAUCCCCUGGACCUGUACUGACGCUCAUGCACGAAAGCGUGGGGAGCAAACAGG